rnacentral:misc_RNA from 1 species
CUAGACCUGGCAGAAGAGCCAUAUGCCUCCAAUGUGACACGUCUGAAACGGUCGAUCAGGCUCUCUGUAUCAGUUCGAUAAAGGGGAAGAAUGCCUCUUACUGUGACUGAAAACUUAUCUAUUAACUCAGCAGGCAAGCCAUCCCCAUUGGCCAAAAAUAGAUCUUUAAUGGAUUUAAAAUCAUCCUCUAUUAUUUCAGAAUCCUG